rnacentral:lncRNA from 1 species
CACAUAAGGAGGUCACUGAUCCCCGCUCUUUCCUUUCCUUAUGGACUUCCAGAAAAAAGAAGGAUGGGAGGCAACCCGGUCGUUUGGAAGACACACCCUCCCAUCACAUCUAUCAGCGUCCUGCAGACUGAGUGCUGAGAGCAGUCACCACUGAAGUUUUAAAUUUCCCCAGCUAGUGUAAAACUUAAUGAAAGCCCUGGAGUAUACAAUAGCAUUUUGAAAACAGGAAUUUGUGACUGCUGUGAAUCAUCACUCACAGCAGGGACCCAGAAAUGUGAAUUGUGGGAGGAACACACGAGCCCCUCUCUUUUUUACUGGGAAUUUAUUACAGGCGGGUCAUUAUUUACAAUGCACCAUUCACAUCCUCUAAAGAGCCAAUAAACUGGCUGCUGAAUAUGCAUUUUGCUCUGUGGUGAAAAACCAGGGUCUGGCCCUGAGAAGACUGCGGGUGACUGUCAGGGCAGGACACCAUGAUGUGGGAUGAGCCCUGUACCAUGUCCACUCUCUGAACAGAGGCUCCUGGCAGCCGAACCCACAGCGUCCUGCCUGUGUGCUGAGACUCCAGUAUGUGGCCUGACCUUCAGCCAAGGUAGGGGUGCAUGACUCCCACCAAGGGCAUCUUUGAUUAUUUUACGUAGCCACCAACCAUGAGGCCGAGCAGAGUCAGAGCUUGAUCUAGGAGCCGUGGAGGGGGCCUGUGCCACGCAGGCGUUGACGUUAGGAUGCAAAGUGUCUGAUUGGAGGGUUUUCCUGUAGCUGCAGUAACAACGGAAAUACAUUUUGAAAAAUCAGUUUUAAUAAAGCCCAGGCACUGACCCCAGCCACGUAAGUAUUUAUAUUAUUGACUUCUGUAUGAGGUUAACUGGAUUCCAGAUGGCUCCAUGAACCAAGUUAGAUCAUGAAAGUCAACGAAAAUCAUUUCAAGGACUUCAGUAGGAGCUGUGCAGGAAGAAAAAGAAAUCCCAGUUUUUCACAGGACUGGGUGCUUAAAUAUGUGUGGAGGGAGGAAGUAGAUGAAUUCUUAUCCAAUUAUUGAUUAGCUGAGAUUUAUUUUCAUCAUGUAAGGAUGACACAAAGUCCAGGAAGAAUUAUUGCUGCCCUCUUACAAGAUCAAAACCUUAGAUA